AGGACGAACGCUGGCGGCGUGCUUAACACAUGCAAGUCGAACGGUAAGGCCCCUUCGGGGGUACACGAGUGGCGAACGGGUGAGUAACACGUGGGUAAUCUGCCCUGCACUUCGGGAUAAGCCUGGGAAACCGGGUCUAAUACCGGAUAUGAGCUCUCACCGCAUGGUGGGGGUUGGAAAGUUUUUCGGUGCAGGAUGAGUCCGCGGCCUAUCAGCUUGUUGGUGGGGUAUGGCCUACCAAGGCGACGACGGGUAGCCGGCCUGAGAGGGUGAUCGGCCACACUGGGACUGAGACACGGCCCAGACUCCUACGGGAGGCAGCAGUGGGGAAUAUUGCACAAUGGGCGGAAGCCUGAUGCAGCGACGCCGCGUGGGGGAUGACGGUCUUCGGAUUGUAAACUCCUUUCAGUAGGACGAAGCGAGAGUGACGGUACCUGCAGAAGAAGCACCGCAACUACGUGCCAGCAGCCGC
rnacentral:rRNA from 1 species